AUUGAAACAUAGGUUCCCGUACGAUCACCGAGGUUAAUUAACGUCGAUCCUGGUCAGUAUUUAGAUGGGUGACAGCAUGGGAAUACCAGCUGCUGUAAG